rnacentral:rRNA from 1 species
UACGGGGGGUGCAAACGUUGCUCGGAAUUAUUGGGCGUAAAGCGCACGUAGGCGGCAUGGUAAGUCGGAUGUGAAAGCCCUCGGCUCAACCGAGGAAGUGCAUUCGAAACUACCAAGCUUGAGUAUGGGAGAGGAUCGCGGAAUUCCCGGUGUAGAGGUGAAAUUCGUAGAUAUCGGGAGGAACACCAGUGGCGAAGGCGGCGAUCUGGACCAAUACUGACGCUGAGGUGCGAAAGCGUGGGGAGCAAACAGG